AGCUUGAUUACUCGUUUUUCACUGGGAUUCCUUCGAUUUAUAACAUUCCUGCUUAAAGGUAUGUCUGUCAAUGGUUUUAGGCCAUUUUGUGUUUAAGUGCGUGUAAAUUUAGUAAUAUUUUCCAACCACACACAACAGUUGUUAACAUCAGACUUGAAUGUCAAAACUACUAAUUAGUAAGUGUUUUUGCACUACAUUUUAUUUUACACGAGUCACUGUCAAAAAAACUGGGUUAAUUUAUUUUAAAGU